AGCACGUGGUGUUCCCUUGCUCUGGGACCUGGGCCCUUUGUGGUAGCAGAGUCAGAGCACAGAGAACAGGACAAUUCCUGGGGGCUUAUAGCAGGACGAAGUGUGUUGCCGGAGGUCUCAGGUGCACCCAAAUUGGAGCUGAGAGAGCCUGAAGAAAAGUGGGACCACCCAGCCAAGCCAAGAACGGUUACCACUUCUGCUCUGAGAGCAGAUCUCGCACAAACAGAUGGGAAGCAGAAACAAGGGGAGAGGAUUGAAGAUGAACCCACGAUUUAAAAGUCCUUGUCUGCAGGAGGUGGCAUUACCUGUGACCUCACUUCACUUCUUCAUACAUGGCUGUUGUAGCAGGUACACUGUAAAGAAGCAUGAUUGUUUCUAGAAAUGCGAAAACAGGUGGCAAAGAUUUAAAACAUGUCAGAACUCCAAAGAAUAUUUAAUGAUGUUUUAAAAAGCAUUCAGGCUGCAAAGUAGGAAAACUUGUUUUAAUGCUCAAGGUAGAAGGGAAUUUGAACAUUGUUUUUUAAAAGUACAUAUAUGUGCAAAGUGAAGAGAGAAAAAUGCAUGGCAAAGAUGUUUUAAAAGUGGUUAUUUCUUCUGAUUGAGGUACCAAUUGUUUUCUACUUUAUAAUUUCUCAAAACUGAACGCUUUGCCACUAGGUAUAACUGUUGUAAUUUCUUGAAAUAGAAGGGUUUUCUACAGUAAACUAUAAAACAUUUUCAAGCACUCAGAAAUAUAUAUUGAUGUGCAAGUAUGCAAACGGUAUAAGGUAGUGCUGAGGAUUGUGUAAAACUACAGCCAGUAUGUGUCCAAUUAUGUUUAGAGAGAAGCAGACGUGUGUAUUUGUAUAUGUGUGUGUAAACAUUUAUUUAUAUAUAUAUAUGUAUAUGUUUAUACACAUACAUAUAUAUAUAAACAUUUUAAAAAGCUGCAUAUUUAAAAUGAUGGUCAGUGUUAUAGUGAGUAUGCUUUUCAACUUGAAAUUCUCAGUUGACAUUUAUAUCCAUAUUUAUAUUUAUAUAAAGCAAGGCAUUAAUGAAAGAUUAUAGCUGCAUGUGAAGGGUGUGAGUGCAUCCUCCUUAAAUUAAAGUCUUCUUAGGUUACACAUCUGGGUGAUGGAAUUUGAGAGAUACCAAUUUCAACCUUCAAUUAUUGAAUUCUGUUUUCGUUCUUUACAGGCUUUAAAGAAAAUCUUAAGGUAAAAAUUGGGUGUAAAUUUUGAGUAGUAUAAGAAAAGAAACCCUAAUGUUCUGGCUCAUGAGUAUCCAGUGUCUGUUCCAAUAUUAGUUUUAGAAAAAAAAAAUUUGUACCUGUAUGUCAUCGUAUUAAUGAUCAGGUCUAUGUAUAUGCAGGAUUUAAAGGCCUCACUCUUAAUUGUUAUACAAACAGAAUGGCAUUUCUAAAUCGUGCUUAACAGAAAAUCCUGUUUCUGAAGCAUAUUUAAAGUCGUAUGAAGAGGCGUUUAUAAGACCUAAGAAAAUGAUGAUAGAAGGAAGCAACUCAAACUGUAAGGAUAUUCCACAUGUAUCAUGCCUGGAUCCCUGAGACUUACCCACAGAAGCAGACAACUUGAUAACUUGGGAAAAGGCUGGAGAUAUAAUGUGCUGAGUGAACAAAAACAGAACUGUGAAGACGAAGCCUAGUGGAAAUUGAAUUCUUGUGAAGAGAAGACGCCUGAUGAGGGUGGGUAGUUUUAGGCCUCAGUUUUCAGAUGAAAACCAAAGCAAAAGUACAGCAGUGAGCAGGUUUUCUCAAACUGGGCAAGAUACUAAGUAGCCAUAUUUCCCGGUGACUUGGCCUCUUGGUUACAUUUUUUUCUAACAGGAUGGGUGGGUGAAGAGGGCUGAGGGGACAGGGAGGAAAAUACUCGUUGGCAUAGAUGGUGCACUACUGCCAUCGUGAGGAAAUAGUUUAAAAUCUACCUACGCCGGCAUUGCUUUCUUUACGUGAGGACUUUCAGUUUCGAAAGAGCCAUUCAGUGGAAGGGCUUCUUGAGCCCUGGUCCCAAAGUGGGCCUCCCUGUCUUCUCUGAGUUAUUAUAGAAGUUCUGGCCAAAGUCCUAAUGCUGGUAUGACAAAGGUGAGGUCCAGGUGUAGAAGCUGGCCAGUGGGGCUGCCUGGACUGAGCCAUCAGCCUCAAGGAAGUCCCAGCACAGGAAGUUGUGGGGUGAAACUGUCAAGUAGUUAAAAAUGGACUUAUACACACAUAAAAACACAUCAAUGCUCAGACUCCUGAAACUGAAGAUAAAGAGAAAAUUUAGAGGACAGCUGGAUACAAAGACAAGAUAUUCCCUGGAGAGGAACAAAUAUAAGAUUUAUAGUAGACUGGACAAGCAUUAUGCAAGCUAUAAGGAAACAGACUGGCAUCUUAAUGGUACUGAAAACAAAACAAAACAAAAUAAAAAUAAAAUUAUCAACCCAGAAUUUUAUACCAUCAAAAAUGUCUUUCAAAAUAAGGAGAAAAAAAAAAGGAAUGUGGUAUCAGAUAGACACCCGAGAUUGACCCAAAGAAUCAGAGAUCUAGAGAAAUAGUUAAAAUGAAAGUAAAUACAAAAGACAUUUUUCCUUAUUUCUAAUUGUUUUAAAAUAUAUUUGACUAUCAGAAAAAU